UGGGGAAUAUUGGACAAUGGGCGAAAGCCUGAUCCAGCAAUGCCGCGUGUGUGAAGAAGGCCUUCGGGUUGGAAAGCACUUUUGGCCGGAAAGAAAUGGCUCUGGUUAAUACCUGGGGUCGAUGAAGGUACCGGAAGAAUAAGGACCGGCUAACUACGUGCCAGCAGCCGCGGUAAUACGGAGGGUCCAAGCGUUAAACGGAAUGACUGGGAGUAAAGCGUGCGCAGGCGGUUGUGAAAGCCCUAUGUGAAAUCCCCGAGCUUAACUUGGGAAUUGCGUUGGAGACUGCACGGCUAGAGUGUGGCAGAGGGGGGUAGAAUGCCACGUGUAGCAGUGAAAUGCGUAGAGAUGUGGAGGAAUACCGAUGGCGAAGGCAGCCCCCUGGGAUAACACUGACGCUCAUGCACGAAAGCGUGGGGAGCAAACAGG
rnacentral:rRNA from 1 species